UCUAAAAACUCAUACGGACUUCGGCUAAGCCAUCCAAGUUCUGAGAAGCAAUAAGAAGCUUGGUUAAUGUUUUGGAGUCAAAUAUGACUAGAUGUCAUGUGUAUGAUUGAGUAUAAGAACUAGAACCGCAACCGUUUCCCAAAAGCUAAAGUAGUGUUUCCUUGUUAGAAGAUACAAAGCCAGAGAA
rnacentral:sRNA from 1 species